rnacentral:lncRNA from 1 species
UAUUUAGGUUUAUGUUUAAUUGGUGUUUUUAGGUGUUUUAGGGUAUUUUUAUUUUAGGGUUAUUUUAAUUUCGAAUUAUGUUUUCUAUUUUCAUUAGAAUUGGUCUAGGUUUAGGUUUCCUUGUUUUCCAAGGAUUGUUUUUCCUAUUUAAAGAGUUGUAGGCCUUUGGCCAAGUAGGUGUUGAUUGGUUAAUUGAAUUGUGU